GAAAUGCUUAAAAUUAUAAUAUUAAUUAUUACUACUUUCUUUUGUCUUUAUUUCCUAUUUCAUUAAUUUUAAUUGGAUAUGUGAUGUUAUUGAUUUUCGUUUAAGCUUCUCCUAAUUGAAUGAUUUAAAACUCAAAUAGUAAAGUACUUGGAUUGUCAUUUUUGGGGAAUUUUUUUUGUGAUAAUUACAAUGUUCGGAUUAACUUUCACUUGAUUGGUAUGUGAUUAAAUUUGAGUUAUUUUAUUUUUAAAGGUAUGACAAGUGUUUUUAGCGAUAUAUAAAUAUAAUAAAAUGAGACAUAUAAGUGAUGAGAUAGCACAUUUCUUAGGCUAUGAUCAUGACUCGUAUUUGUCUUUUUUCAUUUUUCUUCUUCUUUAUUUCUCUACAAAAUUAUUUAAUCACUUUUUUCCUCACUAAAAUUAGUUGUUGUUCACAAGUCAAGAGAUUCAAUGCCUUUUCAAAUAUUGAAAAAGUACUAUUGACUUCUUUUAUAUAAUAUUUAUGAAUCCAUUUUACCCUUUGCAAAUUUCAUCCUUUGAUUUUUACACUACACAAAUAUUUAAUAUAUUAUGAUUGAUGAUAUGAUAAAUAUACAUGCAGAAACAACAAAAUUGAAUAUUAUCAUUUGGUUUGAAAAGUAGGAAGAGAAAUCCACGAUAAUCAUCUACAGGUCAUGAAUUUAUAAGAGGAACAUAACAAUAAAUGUAUUUUUUAGUAAUAUCAUUUUUUCUUCAUAUUGUUAUUCUUUUUUGUUUCAAUAGAGUAGUUUCAUAAAAAUGUGUCAAUUACUAAAUUUUUCGAGAGUUAUUUAUAGAAAAUUUGAGUUUUUAAAAAAAUUCACUGUAAUCUUUAUCUAUAACAGGAGAAUGACUAUAAAGUUAUUUGUAUUACUUCUAAUUUUAAUUUUUUCCUCCGAUAUUGCUUUUUAUUAAACACGAAACUAAGUGUUAAAUAAAUUAGAAUUUAAACUCUAAUUUAUUUUAAUUUGAAGGUUGUCAAAAAUCUUUAAAAUUUCAUAAAUUUAAUUUAUAUUUUUAUAGUAGUUCCUGCUAUCACAAUUAAACUACAUUGAUAGUGUAAAAAUACUUUAUAUUGUCGUUGUACGUACGUUUUUUUUUUUUUUUGGUUUAAUAUUGCUUUUUAUUAAUAUUAAAGAAACAAAUUGUUUUAACAUCACAUGACCCGCUCCAACCCGUGUCUCUUAACGCAAUACAAAAAACAAAAACCUACAACUAAACACUUAGUGUAAGUAGGGUUUCUAAAAAGAAAUCAUCUUUCCCCUCUAAGCUGAUGCUCCUCUUCCUUUGUAGCUCAAUUUUCUUCCUUGCUCUUCCCUCACUUGUCUUCCUUUUUGAUGAUUCAGCUUCCGAUCUUCACGUUCUUGGACUGUAUUGAGCUGAUUAAUCCAAAUUAUCUCCAUAUACAUGUAAUAAUUUAGAGUAAUCUGUAUCUUUCUGUACUUGCUGCUCCUGUACUGUAACAUCAUCUCCAAUUCUGAGCAGAUCUGCAGUGAAAGAGUCUAGAUUUACCCAUAGAGGCUUGACUCCUUUCUGAAGGCUUUGAUGGACCCAACUUGAGGAGCAGAUGCAACUAAGGAAAUCAAAUCCACACCUGAAAUCACAAACUGGUUAACUAAUGGAUUGCAGCAUUACCUUCCACCUGAAGUUGAGCCAAACUUAAAGAAACUUGGAUUAGCAGGCCACAGCCGUGGAGGAAAAGUUGCAUUUGCAUUAGCUCUUGGCAGACUUGCUAGUAUUUCUAUUGACCUGAAAUUCUCGGCAUUAAUCGCAGUGGCAGAUCCAAGAAUUUUCUUCGGGGGUUUGAAAAAUAAAAAUAUAAAUGUGUGAAUAAGCCAACAAAAUAUAAUUUCAAGGGACUAAUAUAAAAUACUUAAACUUAUAUUUUUAA